rnacentral:vault_RNA from 1 species
GGGCCAGCUAUAGCCCAGUGGUUCCUUCAGUGUUACAAGUGUUUGUAUCUCGCCCUGUCGGGGGUUCGAUCCCGCGGGCACCUCUGGCUCAUUU